AACACAACUAUUAUUAAUCAAGUGUAUGUAAAAUUUAAGUAAAAAAUUAAAUUGGAGUAAAUUAUAGUAAACUGAACAAAAUUAUCUUUUAACAGCUAACAACGUUUUUAACAGUAAACUGUACUACGGAACUCUUAAUAGAUGUUUUGUCUUCCACAUCUUUUUGUGUUAUUUAUACGAUAAAUUAUAACGUAUUCCAUUUUAAAAUCGAAAAUGUGAAGGAUUUACUGAUGCAGUUUCAGCAUGUACAUAAUGAAUUAACGGAUAAAAAUGAAAUCGCUAUCAUAAAAAAAUAUGACUACAUAGCGAAAUGUUAUACAGUUACACUCAUGAUACUUGGAACUUGUGCAAUAUUUGCUUUUAUGGCAUUUCAAUUUUGGAUAAAUAUGAUCAAUUUUGCUUUACCAACGAAUGUAUCUCGAUCAUAUAAUUUUCUCUUUAUGAUGGAGUAUUUCAUCGAUCAGGAUACAUAUUUUUAUUUGAUUCUAUUGUACACCAACGUAGCUGCUUGCAUUGCGACACUUACAGGGGUAGCAUGUAGUACAAUGUUCCUUACAUUCACUCAACAUAGCUGUGGAAUGUUCAAAAUUGCUAGGUACGAAUACAGAAAUCACCUUAAUAGUUUGAAAUGUAGCUAAAAGUUAGUCUAUUCUGCCUAAAUAAUAAAAGUGUUUGUGUAACAUUUUUUAUCUGUUAUAAAUUGUAUAUUUCAAAUAAUCACUUUAAAAUGACAACACUAACGUUUACAGUUAUCGAAUCGAGCAUGCUAUAAAUAUGAACAUUAAACGAAAUGUAAUGCCAGAGAAUGAGAUUUUGAUG